UCAAGCUACAAAGGGCUCACGGAGGAUACCUAGGCACACAGAGGCGAUGAAGGACGUGGUUACCUGCGAUAAGUCUCGGGGAGUUGGAAGCACACUUUGAUCCGGGAAUUUCCGAAUGGGGCAACCCCAUGUACGGCCAACUGAAUAUAUAGGUUGGUGCGAGCUAACCCAGCGAACUGAAACAUCUUAGUAGCUGGAGGAAGAGAAAGUAAAUAACGACUCCCUCAGUAGCGGCGAGCGAACGGGGAACAGCCCAAACCGAUAGUCUUGACUAUCGGGGUUGUGGGACAGCAAUAUGGAUCAACAAGUCUAGAAGAAACGUUUGAAUGGCGUGCCACAGAGGGUGAAAGCCCCGUAAUCGAAAGAUAAGUUGACCUAGCUGUAUCCCGAGUAGCACGGAGCACGUGGAAUUCCGUGUGAAUCUGCGAGGACCACCUCGUAAGGCUAAGUACUACUGUGUGACCGAUAGUGAAACAGUACCGCGAGGGAAAGGUGAAAAGAACCCCGGGAGGGGAGUGAAAUAGAACAUGAAACCGUGAGCUUACAAGCAAUGGGAGCCCGACUAAUCGGGUGACCGUGUGCCUGUUGAAGAAUGAGCCGGCGACUUAUAGGCACUGGCGGGUUAAACCGGAAAUGGUGGAGCCACAGCGAAAGCGAGUCUUAAUAGGGCGUUUGUCAGUGUUUAUAGACCCGAACCCUGGUGAUCUAACCAUGGCCAGGAUGAAGCUUGGGUGAUACCAAGUGGAGGUCCGAACCGACUGAAGUUGAAAAUUCAGCGGAUGAGCUGUGGUUAGGGGUGAAAUGCCAAUCGAACCAGGAGCUAGCUGGUUCUCCCCGAAAUACGUUGAGGCGUAGCGUCUAGUGCUCCAGCAGGGGGGUAAAGCAACCAUUUCGGUGCGGGCUGCGAAAGCGGUACCAAAUCGAUAUGAACUCUGAAUACCCUGUGUGUAACUAGGCAGUCAGACUGUGGGGGAUAAGCUCCAUAGUCAAGAGGGAAACAGCCCAGACCGCCAGCUAAGGUCCCAAAAUUAACGCUAAGUGAUAAAGGAGGUGGGAUUGCCCAGACAACCAGGAGGUUUGCCUAGAAGCAGCCAUCCUCAAAGGAGUGCGUAAUAGCUCACUGGUCGAGCGAUCCUGCGCCGAAAAUGAACGGGGCUAAGCGUUAUACCGAAGCUGCGGAUAAAUUUAUUUAUGGUAGGGGAGCGUUCUAUGUAGGGUGAAGCGUUAGCGUAAGCGGACGUGGACAGCAUAGAAGUGAGAAUGUCGGCUUGAGUAGCGAAAACAUGGGUGAGAAUCCCAUGCCCCGAAACCCUAAGGGUUCCUCCGGCAGGCUCGUCCGCGGAGGGUUAGUCUGGACCUAAGGCGAGGCCGAAAGGCGUAGUCGAUGGAUAACAGGUCAAUAUUCCUGUACCAGAUGUGUUUUGAGAAGGGGGACGGAGAAGGCUAACCAGGCCAGAUGUUGGUUACUGGUUCAAGCGUUCGAGGCUUUGAGAGAUGGAGAAAACAUCUUGAGCUAAGGCGUGAGUACGAGCUGCUACGGCAGCGAAGUUGGUGAUGUCAUGCUUCCAAGAAAAGCCCUAUACUCGUUAAGACACAAAUGCCAGUACCCGAAACCGACACAGGUGGGGUGGUAGAGAAUACCGAGGGGCGCGAGAUAACUCUCUCUAAGGAACUCGGCAAAAUGGCCCCGUAACUUCGGGAGAAGGGGUGCCAGCGAGAGCUGGUCGCAGUGAAGAGGCGCAAGCGACUGUUUACCAAAAACACAGGUCUCCGCUAAGUCGCAAGACGAUGUAUGGGGGCUGACACCUGCCCAGUGCCGGAAGGUUAAGGAAGCUGGUUAGCUUUUAGUGAAGCUGGCGACUGAAGCCCCGGUGAACGGCGGCCGUAACUAUAACGGUCCUAAGGUAGCGAAAUUCCUUGUCGGGU
rnacentral:rRNA from 1 species